rnacentral:misc_RNA from 1 species
GAUGAAGAACGCAGUGAAAUGCGAUACGUAAUGUGAAUUGCAGAAUUCAGUGAAUCAUCGAGUCUUUGAACGCACAUUGCGCCCCCUGGUAUUCCGGGGGGCAUGCCUGUCCGAGCGUCAUUGCUGCCCUCAAGCACGGCUUGUGUGUUGGGCCUCCGUCCUCCUCCCGGGGGACGGGCCCGAAAGGCAGCGGCGGCACCGCGUCCGGUCCUCGAGCGUAUGGGGCUUCGUCACCCGCUCUUGUAGGCCCGGCCGGCGCUUGCCGACACAUCAAUCUUUUUUCCAGGUUGACCUCGGAUCAGGUAGGGAUACCCGCUGAACUUAAGCAUAUCAAUAAGCGGGGGA